rnacentral:rRNA from 1 species
UACGUAGGGUGCAAGCGUUGUCCGGAAUUAUUGGGCGUAAAGAGCUCGUAGGCGGUCUGUCGCGUCUGCUGUGAAAACUCAGGGCUUAACCCUGAGCUUGCAGUGGGUACGGGCAGACUAGAGUGCGGUAGGGGGAGACUGGAAUUCCUGGGUGUAGCGGUGAAAUGCGCAGAUAUCAGGAGGAACACCGGUGGCGAAGGCGGGUCUCUGGGCCGUAACUGACGCUGGAGGCGCGAA